UCCUUUCUCAAAUCUAUUUGACGAGGACCUUGAAGAACUUGAAACCUUUGAGAAAGAGAUCAUUUCUCCAACGCUCUACGCAACAGCAUCUGCUAGUGUCAUUAGUCUUGACGAUUAAAGACAUUUGUUUCUAUUUUGUUUAGCGUCAUUGUAUUUGAAGUAAAAUUGUUGAAGUAAAUAGAUUAAAGAAAGCUCAAAGAAUUAGGUGAGUGAAACCAAGUGUUUCAGUAUUUAUAUGGUUAUUGAACUCUACAUGUUAUUUUUUGAAAUUACUAACUGGUGUCAUUUUUUUAUUUUUAAUAACUGCUUGCCAUUAUUUUAGCUGCACUUGUUCGCUUUUCUAUAGCGGGAAACUUCCUAGGACUUCCUGCUAUCACUGUUUCAGUUGAGUUAUAUUCUCCCUUACUUAGUAACAUUAUACCACCAUAUGUUAUUUUCUUUAUACAAGACUUUAGAUAUUAUUUAUAUGUUAUAUAUGCUUCAAACUUCACAGGUUGGGUAUGAUAAAUUGGGUUUGCCUAUUGGUCUUCAAUUCAUUGGAAGGCCUUGGUCUAAAGCAACACUAAUCCACUUAGCAUUUGCAAUGCAGGUAAACAUUUCUUUCAUUGUAUUGAAUAUACACUAGUACAAUAUUGGUCAUUUUCUUUUAUAUCAUUCAAAUAAUUUUUCUUGUGUUCUGUUUUAUAUUAUUAAUUUUUUUUUUUUAUAAUUGUGCAUGUAAUAAUAAAUGUACAACAUAUUCAGAUUAAAGAAUCAUUAUAUUUGUAAGCUUAUGAAGAACUUUUUAUGUGUGAUAUCAGGCUAUCUGCAUGUCAGAUUAUAGAAAGCCAGAGCAUUACUAUGAUCUGCUAAGAAGAUAAAAAGGAAGAAUAGUAGCAGUAGCACAUUGUUUCUUGCUAAAGGAAAGCCUUCAUUGUAGUGUGUUUGAGCUAGUGGGAUUUUUUCUUUCUUUUUUCCUUUUGGUGGAUUGGAUUUCAUCCAUUAUUAGUACAAAACUUGAUGUCUUUGAUAGUGGUUUCAGUUUUUGGAUUUUUUAUUCAAUUC